AUUUGUGCAUUAACAAAGAAUGGAUCCCCUCACCAGCUAGGUGACCUCGGUUGUAGCCUGUGAUAACCACAAUCCAGUCCCUCUGAAUGGCAAUGGUCAGUGCGGUGCUUGCAAGGUUUGCCACAUCUGCCAGGAUGAUCACCACCGUAUAACAAACCACCUUGUGUAAGUUUUGCGAUGCAACAUGUUACUAUGACAGCACAGAGUAGCCACAAACUCAGAAGCAGAGACAACAGUGACAGAGGACAGAGGGAACAACAGCAGCAAUAACUCCUCUAUGCAAUAAUGAUGCCUCAACUAUGACAUAUGCCACAAAAACCACCAGAAGCAUUAGAGGACUGAUGAAGCGCCAUGUGACCUGCCAGUAGAUGUUUGGCCUCCGACCUGUCAUCCAUUCAAUGUCAUCAUUAAACCUAUGUAUACCACACUGAUGAUCUCAAAGAAUGCUAUGAUGAGCAGAGGCAUGGAUCCCACAUAGCUGUUGAAAAUCUCUAGCCAGUAGUUUCCAGAACCCAAAGUAAAGAUGAGGGCAACAGUGAAGGAGGCAUCCAGGACGGAACCAUGUGCAGGUCCAACAGUGGAGUUAAGACCCCCUCUAGAUUUCCAAACAUGGAUGACAGGCCCAGGCUGAAGAGCAUGACAAAGAAGAGCACCGCCCACACCUGGGAGCCUGGCAUGUUUAUCACUGCCUCAGUAAACAAAAUGAAGGCCAGUCCGGUUCCAGUGGCACUCUACAGUCUCAAUUCCACGUA